GGACCGGUUUGUAAAAGAGGAAGAGGCAUGACAAGCACCUUACUGAACACAACAGCAGCAGAGAGUGUGACAGUGUGAGCUGUAGGUAAACUGGGAGUAAUGGGAGCAGCCCGGAUCUCAUGAUGGAGAACAACUGUGACCGUCAUCAUCACAGCAUUACAAAUCGCAGCAGCAAAGCCUCCAACAAAUCGGAAUCAUCACAUAAAUGAAGUAUCCACAACAACCAAAGACAUAAAAGUGGACAACAUCAGCGGACUAUGAGACAAUGACGCCUGGUGAGGGAACUGAACCUGAACCCCGCUGCACCUGUUCAUCUUCGGACUGUGCUGCUCUCUCAGCUCCACCGCUGCCACCUCCUGACCUCUGCCCCCACUCCACGUCAAAGAACCGGGAAUCCACUGUCAGUCUUGGCGAAUAUGCUGAAGUGGAUGUACGAGGCCACGUCAGCCAGUACCAACAUCUGGAUCUCAGCCAGUUGGAGGAUCAUGUGUAUCACGCACUCUGUGGUCCCAAAGAUGGACCCAUGCAGAUGAACUGUUGAUACCACUCAGUUUAUUUACAACUUGGGUCUUGAUUCUAAAUAUUUAGACAGCACCUCAAAUCGUCAAUUAUAACCUCCUACUUUCUGAAAUACCUUCGUGCUAAUAGAAUAUUAAUAAUAUUAUAUGUGGCCAAAACACAAAUGUUUUAUAUGUUUUGAAUUAACCUAAACUGUUUGUUAACU